CCAGAGUGAAUAAUAAUACAAUUUCCAUCUGACUUCCCCCACCCCAGUCUCUUGCAUGGCACCAAGAAUGUUACCAAUUCAAGCAGUUUAAGAUUGCCAAGACAAAAUAGUGAUGGUGGUCAGAAAAAUAAGCCUCGUGAACAUAUUAUAGACUGUGGAGAUAUUGUCUGGAGUCUUGCUUUUGGGUCGUCAGUUCCAGAAAAACAGAGUCGCUGUGUAAAUAUAGAAUGGCAUCGCUUCAGAUUUGGACAAGAUCAGCUACUUCUUGCUACAGGGUUGAACAAUGGGCGUAUCAAAAUAUGGGAUGUAUAUACAGGAAAACUCCUCCUUAACUUGGUAGAUCAUACUGAAGUGGUCAGAGAUUUAACUUUUGCUCCAGAUGGAAGCUUGAUCCUGGUGUCAGCUUCAAGAGACAAAACUCUCAGAGUAUGGGACCUGAAAGAUGAUGGAAACAUGAUGAAAGUAUUGAGGGGGCAUCAGAAUUGGGUGUACAGCUGUGCAUUCUCUCCUGACUCUUCUAUACUGUGUUCAGUCGGAGCCAGUAAAGCAGUUUUCCUUUGGAAUAUGGAUAAAUACACCAUGAUACGGAAACUAGAAGGACAUCACCAUGAUGUGGUAGCUUGUGACUUUUCUCCUGAUGGAGCAUUACUGGCUACUGCAUCUUAUGAUACUCGAGUAUAUAUCUGGGAUCCACAUAAUGGAGACAUUCUGAUGGAAUUUGGGCACCUGUUUCCCCCACCUACUCCAAUAUUUGCUGGAGGAGCAAAUGACCGGUGGGUACGAUCUGUAUCUUUUAGCCAUGAUGGACUGCAUGUUGCAAGCCUUGCUGAUGAU
rnacentral:sRNA from 1 species